UACGGGGGGGGCAAGCGUUGUUCGGAAUUACUGGGCGUAAAGGGCGCGUAGGCGGCCUGCUAAGUCGGACGUGAAAUCCCUCGGCUCAACCGGGGAACUGCGUCCGAUACUGGCGAGGCUUGAAUCCGGGAGAGGGAUGUGGAAUUCCAUGUGUAGCGGUGAAAUGCGUAGAUAUAUGGAGGAACACCAGUGGCGAAGGCGGCUUUCUGGACGACUACUGACGCUGAGGCGCGAAAGCGUGGGGAGCAAACAGG
rnacentral:rRNA from 1 species